AGUGAACGCUGGCGGUAGGCCUAACACAUGCAAGUCGAACGGCAGCACAGUAAGAGCUUGCUCUUACGGGUGGCGAGUGGCGGACGGGUGAGGAAUACAUCGGAAUCUACUUUUUCGUGGGGGAUAACGUAGGGAAACUUACGCUAAUACCGCAUACGACCUACGGGUGAAAGCAGGGGAUCUUCGGACCUUGCGCGAUUGAAUGCGCCGAUGUCGGAUUAGCUAGUUGGCGGGGUAAAGGCCCACCAAGGCGACGAUCCGUAGCUGGUCUGAGAGGAUGAUCAGCCACACUGGAACUGAGACACGGUCCAGACUCCUACGGGAGGCAGCAGUGGGGAAUAUUGGACAAUGGGCGCAAGCCUGAUCCAGCCAUACCGAGUGGGUGAAGAAGGCCUUCGGGUUGUAAAGCCCUUUUGUUGGGAAAGAAAAGCAGCAGGUUAAUACCCCGCUGUUCUGACGGUACCCAAAGAAUAAGCACCGGCUAACUUCGUG
rnacentral:rRNA from 1 species